AAAGAGAGACAGAGAAAAAGUGAGACAGAUGGAGCGAGAAACCAGAGGUUGUUUGCUGUUAGAGAAACAAGAACGAAACAAAGCCAGAAGUUUUCUACAUUUCCUUCAGAAAAUGUCGGUGAUGCUUGCCUAUGCAAUACCUGCAGUCACAAUAUUACGGCAUUGCUAUUUUGUUGCCAAGGUGUUGCAAUGAAGAUGCUAUGGAACUCUGAGUGACUAUGGUAUGCUGGGUGGUUUUUAACUGUGUUGCUAUGAGGUUGCUAGGGUAUUGCAAUGAAGUUGCUAAGGUAUUCGGAGUGUUGUAUGUAUGUUGGUAUGGUAUUCUAAAUGGUUUUUAACUGUGUUGCUUAGGUUGUUAGGGUGUUGCUAUGAGGUGUCCAUGCUAUUCUGAGUGGUUAACUGUGUUGCUGAGAGGAUGCUAGGGUGUUGCAAUGAAGUUGCUAAGUUAUUCUGAGUGUUUUAAGCAUGUUGGUAAGGUAUUGUGAGUGGUUUUUAACUGUGUUGCUUAGGUUGUUAGGGUGUUGCUAUGAGGUUACUAUGGUAUUCUUAGUGGUUAACAGAAUUGUUAUGAGGUUGCUAGGGUAUUGCAGUAAAGUUGCUAAGGUAUUCAGAAUAUUUUAAGCAUGUUGGUAUGGUAUUCUGAGUGUUUUUUAACUGUGUUGCUUAGGUUGUUAGGGUGUUACUAUGAGGUGUCCAUGCUAUUCUGAGUAGUUAACGGUGUUGCUAUGAGGUCGCUAUGGUAUUCUGAGUGGUUAACGGAAUUGUUAUGAGGUUGCUAGGCUAUUGCAGUGAAGUUGCUAAGGUAUUCAGAGUAUUUUAAGCAUGUUGGCAUGGUAUUCUGAGUGGUUUUUAACUGUGUUGCUUAGGUUGUUAGGGUGUUGCUAUGAGGUCAAUGUGGUAUUCUCAGUGGUUAACUGUGUUGCUAUGAGGCUGCUAGGGUAUUGCAAUGAAGUUGCUAAGGUUUCUGAGUGUUUUGAGCAUGUUGCUAUGUUAACUGCAUUUCAAUCACAAUUCUAGGGUGUUGCACUAAAGUUUAAAAGGUUUUGGGAGUGUUUUUAUUGCAUUGCUAUGAUGUUGCUAAGGGAAUUUUUUCCACCCAUUUUUUCAUCUGCCAGGUAAAAUCUUAAUAGGAAGGUAUUAGCACACCUCUCCUCAACAAACCUUAUGAUUUGAGGUAUCACUUAUGUCUGCAGCACAAACAAUGUGAGGUGAAAUAUGUGCUAAAGUUUAAUAUUGUAAAUUAUGGGUUUGUUUAAAUCACUAACCCUACACAUGAGCAAUAGCAAUAGUGUUGCUUGACUUAGCAAGCAACAUAAAUUCAGCAAACACAAACACACACUGACUGACACAUUAUUUACUGCCCAGGCAAUACUUCCACUACUGGCCUUUUCCGCACCGCUACAGAGCUUCCAUAUCUUUAUUAGUGUUAUUUGAGUGUGUGUAUCCUUGAAAUAUGAGCUAGCGUUGUUUUUAUCGAUGUAUAAGUUCAUUAAACAUGACAGUUGAGGAUUGAAGGGGUCAAUACAGAGAUAUGAAUUGGAUAUGAAAUCUGAGCUAGAGCGAGAGAGGUUGGGGGGGGGGGGGGGGGGUUGUGAAAUCAUAACUGUAUCAUGCUCGGUUUAUUUUGAAUAGGCCGAUACGCUGAUAAAAAAUAAACAAUAUUACCACAGCCAUUGUCUGGAGUUUCAUUCUCAUAUCCACAGACAAUAUAUAUAUGAAUGUUUUAAUAUUGAUUUCUGCCUUCCAGUCCAUCAAAAACAUUAAUUAACUUCAGGUUCAGCAGACAUCCUGACAUGCAACAACUGUACCCAGAAAUAAACAAAAUAUGCUGAUAACAUUCAUGGUCACAAAUCAGUACAAUCGACUCUUUGUGUGUCUUUGUGUGUUUUGCAUGAGAUAAUUAGCCUAGUAAACAUUCCUGAGGAGACAGAUUGGAAAGCCAUUAGGGUGGAUCGUUGGCACGGCUGAUCGGGGGACGCGCAUGAUGAAGGCGUGGCCAAGAAUGGUCAUGUGACAAUGGGAAUAUUUCAUUGAAAACUAUGCAUUUUAAGUUCAAGUCAAAUGAGCUGCAUACUUCAAUGCAUGAUAUACAUUUUUCUGAUAUUAUAUCAUAUUCUACACUUUGCAGCUUUGUUCCCCUCUAAAGUCCACUUCAGUGUAAUUUCAGUAUUAUUUUUUAUAAUAUUAUAGUAUUUUUUAAUAUACUGAAUUAGCUUUUAUUUUUAUAUUUUCCUUUUUCAUUUUAUAUAUAUCAUCUUGUGGACUUAAAGGAUUAGUUCACUUUCAAAUA